rnacentral:lncRNA from 1 species
CGAUUUUGUUGGUGUUGGUGGUGAUGGUGAUGGUGGUGGUAGUGUUGUUUUGGUGGUAAUGGCGGGGUGAGGGUGAUUGCAAGUGGAUGUGGUUACAGCAGCUGUGGUGCCCCUCCAAUAGGGGGUCGCCGCAUAGGCCCCCUAUUUUUUGGCCUGGCCAAACAGGUUUAUGCUUCCGAUAAUAUUCGAAAAACUCACACUCAAUCAGCAAACUGUCAGAGUCAAGACACUGCCACCAUUCCCUCUACGCUUCAAGUCUGAUGGAACUUUCAAAAUCCUAUGGGUGUAAUAAUAUUUUUCACCAAAUAUGAUCAUGAAUUUCAUAUAUUUAAUUUUCCGAUGUAAAUAAAAUUGUGGGUUUGUUGGUAACUUUGAUUUUUGGUUGGGUAUUGGGUUGAAGCUGGCUUUUUUCAUAGGUGGCUGACAUGCAUUUUGGGAAUGGCAUGGUGACUCGAUGCAGAGACGUGCGGGAGAGUGAGUUAGAGGUAUGUUCUGAUCUCUACACCACACGAUUUCUUGAAAAGAUUAUUCAACUGGAGAAGCCUGAUUUCGUUGCUUUUACUGGUAUUGUAAUGUAAAUCUACUAUGCUUGACUGGUAAUAGAACACGUAGUCCUUUUAAUGAUUUGAAUUUCGUAGCUAAUUUUCGAUCAGUGGAGUCUCUUGCUGCUGGAACGAUAGCAUUUCUUUUCGCAUUAGGAGACGUGGUUAGUUCAAUGAGAGUGCACGGAAAAUGGUUGUAGUACUAUGUGAGAAACUACUGUAUCAAGAGAGAGAACUACAAAACUUUUAUCUGCAAUUUAGCACUUCGAUUGAAUGAUGGAAACUAUAAUGCUAUUCAUUGUUAUGUGAUGAUCACUCGGUGGCAGUAAGCCAUCUAAUUCAUUGUCUAGAGCAUUAAAAUUUAUCACAACUCCGUUGGACAAUGAAUCAGGGCCCACAUCCACUAGACAUGUGAUGAUCAAUACAAAUGAUAAAUAGCUUUAUUCGAAUGGAAAUAGAUGAUCACGGUAGUGGUAUAUACCUUUUUGGACGUUGAUACUUGUUCAAAAAUCUGGUUAGUGCACAAACACAAAGUAGGAGAUUGAUUGGCUUAAAGUAGGUGUAUGAUGUGUUUCAACUCUUUCUGCACCGCGAAGAUGUUUCCUUCUGUUCCCUGAGUUUUUUAUGUGUAAGUGCUUACGGUUUAAUUUUAGAAUCUAAUAUACAUCCUCUUUAGCAAUAUUGAUCCCACAUAAAGUCGGUGGAAAAAAAAAGUUAAAUAAAAUAAGUAAAAUUUUAUUUUGGUGUCAUUAGAAGCAAAUGGCUGAUGAAGAUGCCACUGGAUGACCACAAACUUUUGUCCUUGUCAUAAUGGUUUAAACUCUUGCAGUGGUAAUGCAAAAAAUAGAGUUCUUCGGAAGGGAUAUCGUAUUUAUGAUGGGAGAAAAGGGGAGGGAUGGUAGGACAGGGCAGGGUAGGGCAAGACAGAGUGAGCAGUUAAACUUAGUUAGCACAUCUUUAAAUGUAAUGUAUUUAGCACCAAUGGUGUUCAAUACGUGGUAACACAAAAUAUGUUCAAUUUAAGUGGGCCUUAUAUCCUUCCACUUGAUUGAACUGUCAUUUAAUGCCACAUCAAUUGCCACCUAGAUUAGUAUAAACUCUAUUGGUGAAAUAUAGCAUUAUUCUAUUUAUAGUAAUUGAAGUGACGUGACAUUUAAUGUGGAUAGAUUAGCGCACAUGCUUAAAAGCCACUACUCGUGGAGCAUAUUUAUGACACUAACAUUAGUGAGGCAUUUUCGAGUUGUGAUUGGUUGUAGAUCUCCAACUAUCUACUAUUUGACAGAAAUAGACAUGUCACAAAAAUGGAAAUACAUUUACUAGGAUCCAAGUAAUCCGCUUUUGAGUUAAAUUCUCACAUUUUCACUUCUUUUCCCAAAAAAAAUAAAAAUACAAAAUGAAAGAGUUUAUGUGCAAUUAGAGCCAAAAGUAUGUCAUAAAACUUGCUGCUACCAAAAAAUGAGCAUAUCUUCAAACGGGGUUUUAAAAAAAAUAAAAACAAGUAUAUAUCUUUACAAUAUGGCAGAAUUUCGUUGGACUUAGAGAUGAAUGCAUAUUGUGAUGCUAUUUUAGUUGAUAAUAGAAUAUUAUUUCAAAUGCCACAGAGUGUUGCUAGAUCUUUUCUCCAGAGGGAUUGAACGUCUGUAAGCUCAUCUCCUUUCAUUUAGACAUGACAAAAUUUUGGGUUGCGUAACCUCAAUAAGGCUGGACCUUUUUUUGGCUCAAUGCAAAUGAUCAAAGCUCUAGUUUAUAUUAUAGAAAUUCUUCUGAAUGAAUUGUAUUUUGCACUUUUAUCUUCUGAUUUGUCGCAUUCUGCCCUUAAUGUCACCAGAGUACUUGGUUUAUUGUUAACUUGGUGCUUUGCAUCUUCUCAUUUGUAUUUUCGUGCAGUAUAAUUUAUCUCUCUCUCACAUUGGCAUGUAGGAGAUAAUAUAUUUGGAACAAAUGCUACUGAUGCUGCUAAAUCUCUAUUCAGAGCUUUUGGCCCAGUUAUAAAAUCUGGACUUCCCUGGGCAGGAGUUUUAGGGAACCAUGAUCAAGAAUCAACUAUGAAUCGUGAAGAAUUGAUGUCUUUCAUCUGGAAAUUGUAAUCUGAGAGUAUGGGGAGCUCCAGGUUCCCAUUUUGUGAAUAGCUCUGUCCUCGAUCUCUAUUUUCUUGACAGUGGUGACAGAGCUGUUGUCAAUGGAUUUCGAACUUAUGGAUGGAUUAAAGAAUCUCAACUUAGUUGGCUUCGUGGCAUUUCUAAAGAAAUUCUUGUGUGAUAAAUACCAAGUGCAAGGAUAUUGCGCGCACACGCAUACACACAAAGUGAUUUUUGACAAUAAGGAGUACUUGAAGAGAAUGUAAAGUGUGGGAUUAUAACGAUUACAUGAAAUGGAAAGUGAU